GUGGAUACAGCCGACUGUACACGAAUGCGUCUGACAUACAGCACAAUGUAAAAGAGGUGUUUUCUACAGAGAGGGUUUCACAGAGUGCCUGUAAGUAGCAGCUCCAUCUUCUCUUCCUUGUGUGUGUACCCUCUGCAAGAGCCGGGGGCACAUACUAUAUGUGUAUGUGAGAUGAGGAGGAGCUAAGUGGCUACCACAACCACCUAGAUCAGACAGCCUCCUGUGCUGCAAGAUGGAUUAGAGCCCCACACCUCAGGAGAUCAAAGGUGGCUGUGACAGGGGCACCCCCGGGGCAGGACCCAUGAGGAGUCAUAGAAGAUGCUCACAGCCUGGGCGCUUCUGCUCUUCUUAGCCAUGUGGGUGAGAAGCACCUUUGGUGGCCCGCUCUCCUUUCGAAUAGGUAAAUUGCAAAACAUAAUGGCUUCCA
ensembl:lncRNA